CUCGGUGCUUCUAGCGUUGUGGACACACCUGAUCCCAUACCGAACUCAGCAGUUAAGCACUUCAGCACCGAUGGUAGCCUUCAGUGGCAAGAGUAGGACAGUGCCGAGA
rfam:Candidatus Moranbacteria bacterium CG2_30_41_165 cg_3.0_sub10_scaffold_342_c, whole genome shotgun sequence.